rnacentral:rRNA from 1 species
GAUGAACGCUGGCGGCGUGCCUAAUACAUGCAAGUCGAGCGAACAGACGAGGAGCUUGCUCCUCUGACGUUAGCGGCGGACGGGUGAGUAACACGUGGAUAACCUAUCUAUAAGACUGGGAUAACUUCGGGAAACCGGAGCUAAUACCGGAUAAUAUAUUGAACCGCAUGGUUCAAUAGUGAAAGACGGUUUUGCUGUCACUUAUAGAUGGAUCCGCGCCGCAUUAGCUAGUUGGUAAGGUAACGGCUUACCAAGGCAACGAUGCGUAGCCGACCUGAGAGGGUGGUCGGCCACACUGGAACUGAGACACGGUCCAGACUCCUACGGGAGGCAGCAGUAGGGAAUCUUCCGCGAUGGGCGAAAGCUUGACGGAGCAACGCCGCGUGAGUGAUGAAGGUCUUCGGAUCGUAAAACUCUGUUAUUAGGGAAGAACAAAUGUGUAAGUAACUAUGCACGUCUUGACGGUACCUAAUCAGAAAGCCACGGCUAACUACGUG